AAUAAAUGCAGUUUUAACACUGUUCAUGCUCAACGUUUGACCGUUCGUCUUAUUUGAAAAACAAUUAUGAUUAGUAUUUUUAUUGGUAUUAGAUGAUAAUACAUGAAUAGUACUUUAUGUGUGACUAAUAUUUUUUAUUUUUUCAUAAAAUUUUCAAAUAAGACGGACGGGACACGGAUAUCUAUAGCUGCACUUAUU
rfam:Oryza glumipatula chromosome 6, whole genome shotgun sequence.